rnacentral:rRNA from 1 species
AGUGAACGCUGGCGGUAGGCCUAACACAUGCAAGUCGAACGGCAGCACAGUAAGAGCUUGCUCUUACGGGUGGCGAGUGGCGGACGGGUGAGGAAUACAUCGGAAUCUACUUUUUCGUGGGGGAUAACGUAGGGAAACUUACGCUAAUACCGCAUACGACCUACGGGUGAAAGCAGGGGAUCUUCGGACCUUGCGCGAUUGAAUGAGCCGAUGUCGGAUUAGCUAGUUGGCGGGGUAAAGGCCCACCAAGGCGACGAUCCGUAGCUGGUCUGAGAGGAUGAUCAGCCACACUGGAACUGAGACACGGUCCAGACUCCUACGGGAGGCAGCAGUGGGGAAUAUUGGACAAUGGGCGCAAGCCUGAUCCAGCCAUACCGCGUGGGUGAAGAAGGCCUUCGGGUUGUAAAGCCCUUUUGUUGGGAAAGAAAAGCAGCAGGUUAAUACAACGCUGUUCUGACGGUACCCAAAGAAUAAGCACCGGCUAACUUCGUG